rnacentral:rRNA from 1 species
AUUUUUGGCAAUGGGGGAAACCCUGACCAAGCAACGCCGCGUGGGUGAUGAAGUCUCUUGGGACGUAAAACCCUUUCGACAGGGUAGAAACCCGCAAGGGUUGACGGUACCUGUAGAAGAAGCCCCGGCUAACUCCGCGACAGCAGCCGCGGUAAUACGGGGGGGGCAAGCGUUGUUCGGAAUUACUGGGCGUAAAGGGCGCGUAGGCGGUUCGCUAAGUCGGAUGUGAAAACUCUGGGCUCAACCCAGAGACUGCAUCCGAAACUGACGGGCUAGAGUUCUGGAGGGGGUAGCGGAAUUCCUGGUGUAGCGGUGAAAUGCGUAGAUAUCAGGAGGAACACCGGUGGCGAAGGCGGCUACCUGGACAGAAACUGACGCUGAGGCGCGAAAGCUAGGGGAGCAAAC